rnacentral:rRNA from 1 species
AUUGAACGCUGGCGGCAGGCCUAACACAUGCAAGUCGAGCGGAUGAAGGGAGCUUGCUCCUGGAUUCAGCGGCGGACGGGUGAGUAAUGCCUAGGAAUCUGCCUGGUAGUGGGGGAUAACGUCCGGAAACGGGCGCUAAUACCGCAUACGUCCUGAGGGAGAAAGUGGGGGAUCUUCGGACCUCACGCUAUCAGAUGAGCCUAGGUCGGAUUAGCUAGUUGGUGGGGUAAAGGCCUACCAAGGCGACGAUCCGUAACUGGUCUGAGAGGAUGAUCAGUCACAUGGGAACUGAGACAGGGUCCAGACUCCUACGGGAGGGAGCAGGGGGGAAUAUGGGACAAGGGGCGAAAGCUUGACCCAGCCUGGCCGCGGGUGGAAAGAAGGUUUUCGGAUUUUAAAGCAUUUUAAUUGGGGAGAAAGGACAGUAAGUUAAUACCUUCCUGUUUUGAGUUACCCAAAAAAAAAGGCCCCGGCAAACUUGGGC